rnacentral:lncRNA from 1 species
AGACCAUUUGGCACAAAGGAUACUUUAAGAAGCCGAAAACAUACUCCUCACUCAUUGCAUGACUUCAAGGCAGACAUAAUAAAAAGGUGUAUAGAAGAGGUUGUUAAGGAGUUCAAUUUUAUAUCUUGAUCAGCAUCUGGACCCAUCAUCAAAGUUGUUGCAGAUAAAAUGGGCAAGAAAUAAGGGAUAUCUUGGAGCGCUGGCCUGCAUUAUCAGGUGCAACAGAGAUAAAUGAAGAAUUCAAGAGGAUAACCACUGUAGGUCUUGAAUCCACAUUUAUGGCCAAACUUGACAAACGCACCCAAAACUAAUGGACCUGGCCUCAUCCAGGGGAGGAGCUAAAGGGGAAAGAAUCAGAAGGAUUAAGGAUAUGCUUCUUGAGAACAAUGCAGUUGAAGUAUGGAGAGAAGUAGCCAUUCACUGUCUUGUUGUCUAUCUUGGAGAGAAAGAAGAGGAUCUUUUUAAGGAGUUUGCUCUAAUCUAUUUUUUUUAUCUUGCUUUACAAGAAUACACAAGAAUUAUUGGUGAUCUGUCAACUAUGGAAUUAAACCACAAGACGGGAACCAUCAUUGUUGAGAAUCCUGAUUGGAAUGGAUAACUCAAGGUGUUGUGCUCUGCUAACGGGCAUAAUAUAUGCUCUGAAUCUGAGCUACCCCAAGGAGCUUAAAUAUACUUGUUAAGUGUUUCAGAAGCUGUUUCUUGAACUUGAUGGACUGAAGCCCAGUGUAAAAGUAAUGCGUCUCAAGAACAGCAUUUUCUGAAGCCUCUACUUAUUUCAAAGUACAUUUUGCUCUUUAUGUUGCAACUAUAUUGUUUUGUAUUUUGAAGUCCACAUGCUGAUCUUUUUAAUUUCAUACUGUUUAUAUGAAUGGUGGCAUUUACAUAUGUUUGUUUAUAAUAAUACAAAUGUUACAUGCUUUACAAUUAAGGUUAGCUAAUAACAAGUAGUUUGUAAAAUGUAGAAUUUAUAAGUUAAUAGUUAGCUUUAAGUGUAUCAAUGCCUAUAACUCUUGUUUUGUUGGAAUUCAUUGUGAUGGCAUAGCUAUGCAUGCAUGCACAUUUUUGAAGGCAAAGCUGACGGGUCAGUUUGUUUAUAAUUUGUGAGACAGUACACAUUUGUGUUUUGUAAACUUUGAGAAGUGCAAUAUUUAAAUUAAAACACUGAAAACUGUGUUUCUAAAUGAAUAAAAAGUUACUGAAAGUAAAA